CGAUUGUGCGCCGUUGACCGUUGUUCGCUGUUCUUUUUGUGUUUCCUAAAAGUUUAAAACAUAAGUUUGAUUUUGAGCGAAGUAAUGAACAGUGAAAAAAACGAAACAUUACUUUGCGAGGACGAUUAUAAAUUUCGUUUUCAAAAAUUAUUGAAGAAAACGAUGUACAGCGGUGGAUGAGUUGUAAAAACCAUGUAAGUCAUGCUUUAAGUUAAGCGAUAAAAAUGUAACAUUAGACACCCCUGGUGAGCACGACCGUGUGAGCGAUUCUGUUGACGUACUCAAUCGACAGAAUUUAAGCAGCAAUUUAAAGCGCCGGGCAAUGGACGAUCAUCGUAUGAUAAAUAGUGGUUAAAUACGACGUAUUGUCGGGACGACGCAAUAAUCCGUAUAAUCGUUAAAUAUUAUCGGGACGUGUAGUCAGGAUAGUUAAUCAUGGCGGAGACUCGUUCACGCACGUAUUAAUAUAAUUCUUUUAUAUUUAUGACAACUCGUAUGCGCCCAAAAUCGUGAACAAUGGAAUAAUGGAAACCUGAUUUAUGGGUACAGUUUUGGGUGUACAUAAUAGAUAUCUUAAAGCAUAACGAUUAUUUUCAACUGUGGUUUCCCAUCACUCAUCAAUUCUCAUCUAUCAGUAAUACCUACGUUAUAAUUGCUAUAUUUCUAAUCUAACGCCGUUUUUGUCAAAUUAUCCCGCUGGUAAUUGUAAUUGUGAUACUCAAUAUUAUAUAUUUUAGUCUGGCCUCCGUCCUCCGAUCGGAGCGUAGAUAAUAUCAAUGUACGCUAUUUGUUUAACACAUUUCGAGACUAUAGGUAAUUCAAAAAUGGAAUCUAAUGCAUUUGCAUAUUUUUUUAUUUUUCAGUAGUUAGCAUAUUUUGCCUGUUCUUAGUGAAUAAAUACAUGCAUAUCUAACACUUUUUUAAUUUGGAGGUAUUUACAUCCUAUACGUGGUUAAAUUUCUUUGGAAAAAAGUUUUUUAUUUUUCGCAAAUGAGUUGUAAAAAAGAGAAAUGUGUACAAUUGAGUUGUAGCCUUAAAUAAUAUCGGCACGCAGUUCGUAUGAAAAAGGGAUCUUGGGACCCUCAAUUCGUUUGUUGCGCGACAGCCGACACUCAUCGCAUUGUGUGGCCCGAACAGUUGCAGUACAUUCCUCAUUGUGAGGUUCUUCUACCCCAGUGUUUCUCAACUUGGGGGUUGUCAAAUAAUAAUUUAAGGUCACUACGAAUAUAAAAUAUUGGGUUGCAUUGCAAUGGUGUAUCCGUGUGGUUGGUGGGCGAAGGGGGAUCAAGACACCUCCCCUUGAACCGUUACAUUUCACAUUGCUUCGAGAAUUAAAACAUAAAAUUAUUAUUUUCAUUCAUUCCUUCUGGUCUAAUAUAUCAGCCACGUUUGAUUAAGCCGAAUAUCGUAUGUACCUACUAAAAAAGCAGACGUGUCCUUUGCGGGAUGCAAAGAUAUGCAAAUGUAUCUCACAAAUUUCUUUUAAAACAUUUAAAAUACCUAUGUAGAUGCAGAUAAUUCCAUAGAAUUUUCAGAAUAAUACAAUAAAUUNAACGAUAAUCGUACAGGUAGAUAUGAAACUGAAGUUUUUAAUAUCUUUAUUGAUAAGCAUCGAUUUCGUUAUUGCCAAUUUUUUUUUAACCUAAUUUAAUUUGAUUAGUAUCGGAAGAUAUAAGCACAGCACAAAUAAUAUAAUACAAUAUUUAUUAGUUAUAUAUUUUGAAAUAGUGAAUUUUUUUAAAAAAAUUUAAUAUUCUAUACCUAUACACUGUUGAGCGUAGUUUGUAUUAACAGUAUUAAUAAGUAACUACCUACCUACUUUCCUUCAUAUCCUAUUCAUAUUUGUUUAUUUAAAAUAUUCUAUUAAAGUAUACUGAAAUAGGUUUUUAAAUAUUGUAGGUAUUAGAUAUCAAUAUUAAGAUAAUUUUGUCCUUCAUGAGGCUUUACUAUUGAUUUGUCAAUAUGCGUUUUACAUCUCGUCAAAACAUUUGAAAUGAUACCCUUGCUAAAAAGUCAAAGCGACAACUGUUUCCUAACCUCAAAUGAGUCAAACGUCAUUUGUUAAAACAUCACCUUUUUGCCAGUUGUAUGACUUAAGAAGGGUUGUUCUUAAAAUUAAAAUAUAUUUUUUAUAAUUCGAUUAAAUAAUUGUUGAUGGAAAUAUAAAUAUUAGAACUCUUAUUAUCAAUUGUUGUAUUACUAAUUUUAAAUAUCUGAUUUAAAAUAUUAUCAUUACUGCAUCGCAAACAAUUGUAUUCAUCAUUAUAAUCACUGAAAAGAGUUGAUCGCAAAAUGCAAACCGAGACCUUCAAUGCUAUUUACAUGUUUAUCUGACGAUAAUACAUCUUCACGUCACAAACGAUUUUGUAGGUACUUAACAUUUUUAGCCGUUUUUUCUUUAUCAACACUGGAGGUGUAACGAUUAUUCGAUGUCUUCUUGUCAAAUGCAGUUGUUUUGUCUUUUUAAAAACUAUAUAGUUAUUGUUUUUAUGUAGGUAUAUAAUUAAAUAUUUGUAAUAGUUAACACCCUCCCUCCACCUACCUUACACAAAUCCUAGUUACGCCACCGUAAUGCCGUGUGUAAUAUAUAUAUAUAUAUUUAGGGGAACCUAUAAAAUCGAAAAAAUUCGUUCAAUGGUUCGCGACAGUAAAAACGUUGAGAAACACUGUACCACUCCAUUGCGUGUUCGUCUCCUAUUUACCGGCUGGCCGAGUAAACAGAACGCGCGUACGAUCCGAAGCGCGGCAUCCGAGGACCGCCGACCGAGUAACAAUCGAUACGAUUGUCGGAAACCGGUUUUUCUGAAAUGAAUGCACGCACACUAAAACGGCACGAA
rnacentral:lncRNA from 1 species